UACAGAGGGUGCAAGCGUUAAUCGGAAUUACUGGGCGUAAAGCGUGCGUAGACGGUUGCGUAAGUCAGAUGUGAAAGCCCCGGGCUCAACCUGGGAAUUGCAUUUGAGACUGCGUAGCUAGGGUGCGGAAGAGGGAAGCGGAAUUUCCGGUGUAGCGGUGAAAUGCGUAGAUAUCGGAAGGAACACCAGUGGCGAAAGCGGCUUCCUGGUCCAGCACCGACGUUCAGGCGCGAAAGCGUGGGGAGCAAACAGG
rnacentral:rRNA from 1 species